GCCGGGGUGGCGGAGCGGCUAACGCGGCGGACUGCAGAUCCGCUUUUCGCCGGUUCGAGUCCGGCCCCCGGCU
rnacentral:tRNA from 1 species